GCAGUGGUGGUUCAAUGCUAGAAUUCUUGCCCUCCAUGCAAGAGACCUGGGUUCGAUUCCCAGCCAAUGCA
rnacentral:tRNA from 1 species